UUCUUUACAAAACAAAUCAAAACAGAAGGGAAAAAAGCUGCAGUUACUGAAUUUGUAUAACCCUCCGUAUAGAAAUUCUAUGCUGUACACGAAGUUACUCGGAGCUAAAAAGCCAACUCGAACGCUUAAAGCGCACAUCCUUGCUA
rnacentral:lncRNA from 1 species